CAGGCUGCGCGGGGAGUUCACGGCAGAGGCGCAAGGCCACGGGCUCGCUCCUCGGUUCUUAGGCGCACAGAGGCGAUGAUGCAGGAACAAUCUGCCGCUGUGGUUGUCACGGAGGCUGCAGCCCUGGUCUCACGCGAGGCCGUGUGCUCACCACCGCCCCAGCCCAGAAGUGUAGGGGUGCACCUGGGCGUACAGGAGUAACGCGGUUAUUUCUAGUAGGAUCGGCUCCGCAUGGACCCAGGUGCCCGGUGGAGCGGGAGCUGGGAGGAAGCCUCUGCUGGACUGUGUGUGCCAUGAGCUCUGGAUGAAGGAAAUGCCCUCUGAAGUUGAAGAUGGGAGCCUUCAGGUCAGACGUAUCAGAGCCCCAAGGCAGUGGGCGGAAGCUGUGAGUGUCAGGUCAGGAUGCUGGACCGUCUCCAGGGCUUCCUGAAGGUUCGGGGGGCGCUCCACAGAAAAAGAGAGGCAGUGGAACUUGCCUCAGCAAAGCCGAGGGGUCCUGAGGAGAGCUGAGCCUGCUGUCCGCCAACCCAGCCCCUCAGCGAGCAAGAG
ensembl:lncRNA